rnacentral:rRNA from 1 species
GUGGAUUAGAUACCCUGGUAGUCCACGCCGUAAACGAUGAUAACUAGCUGUCUGGGUACUUGGUACUUAGGUGGCGCAGCUAACGCAUUAAGUUAUCCGCCUGGGGAGUACGGUCGCAAGAUUAAAACUCAAAGGAAUUGACGGGGGCCUGCACAAGCGGUGGAGCAUGUGGUUUAAUUCGAAGCAACGCGCAGAACCUUACCAGCGUUUGACAUGUCCGGACGAUUUCCAGAGAUGGAUUUCUUCCCUUCGGGGACUGGAACACAGGUGCUGCACGGCUGUCGACAACU